UACGAAGGGGGGCUAGCGUUGCUCGGAAUCACUGGGCGUAAAGGGUGCGUAGGCGGGUUUUUAAGUCAGGGGUGAAAUCCUGGAGCUCAACUCCAGAACUGCCUUUGAUACUGAAGAUCUUGAGUUCGGGAGAGGUGAGUGGAACUGCGAGUGUAGAGGUGAAAUUCGUAGAUAUUCGCAAGAACACCAGUGGCGAAGGCAGCUCGCUGGGACGGUACUGACGCUGAGGCGCGAAAGCGUGGGGAGCAAACAGG
rnacentral:rRNA from 1 species